rnacentral:misc_RNA from 1 species
AUGGAUUGGAAUGAAAUGGAAUGGAAAGGAUUCGAAUGGAAUGUAAUCGAAUGGAAUGGAAUGGAAGGUAAUAGAGUUGAAUAGAAUGGAAUGUAAUGAAAUGGAACGAAGUGGAAUCGAGUGGAAUGGAAUCGAAUGGAGUGAAAUGGAAUGGAAUGGACGCGAAAGGAAUGGACUGGAACAAAAUGAAAUCGAACGGUAGGAAUCGUACAGAACGGAAAGAAAUGGAACGGAAUGGAAUGUAUUCGAAUGGAAAGGAGUUUAAUGGAAGGGAAUCGAAUGGAAUGAAAUAGAAUGGAAUGGAAUCGAAAGGAAUAGAAUGGAAUGGAUCGUUAUGGAAAGAUAUCGAAUGGAAUGGAAUUGAUUCGAAUGGAAUGGAUUGGAAUGGAACG